UGGGGAAUUUUGGACAAUGGGCGAAAGCCUGAUCCAGCAAUGCCGCGUGUGUGAAGAAGGCCUUCGGGUUGUAAAGCACUUUUGUCCGGAAAGAAAUCCUUGGCUCUAAUACAGUCGGGGGAUGACGGUACCGGAAGAAUAAGCACCGGCUAACUACGUGCCAGCAGCCGCGGUAAUACGUAGGGUGCAAGCGUUAAUCGGAAUUACUGGGCGUAAAGCGUGCGCAGGCGGUUUGCUAAGACCGAUGUGAAAUCCCCGGGCUCAACCUGGGAACUGCAUUGGUGACUGGCAGGCUAGAGUAUGGCAGAGGGGGGUAGAAUUCCACGUGUAGCAGUGAAAUGCGUAGAGAUGUGGAGGAAUACCGAUGGCGAAGGCAGCCCCUGGGCCAAUACUGACGCUCAUGCACGAAAGCGUGGGGAGCAAACAGGAUUAGAUACCCUGGUAGUCCACGCCCUAAACGAUGUCAACUAGUUGUUGGGAUUCAUUCCUUAGUAACGUAGCUAACGCGUGAAGUUGACCGCCUGGGGAGUACGGUCGCAAGAUUAAAACUCAAAUGAAUUGAC
rnacentral:rRNA from 1 species